AUUGAACGCUGGCGGCAUGCUUUACACAUGCAAGUCGAACGGUAACAGGCCUUCGGGUGCUGACGAGUGGCGAACGGGUGAGUAAUGCAUCGGAACGUACCCAGAGGUGGGGGAUAACGCAGCGAAAGCUGUGCUAAUACCGCAUGUGAUCUGAGGAUGAAAGCGGGGACCCGGCCGGCAAUGUUUGCCCUCCCGCUUUGGGACGGUCGGAGGCGGGUUAGCUAGUUGGUGGGGUAAAGGCCUACCCAGGCGACGAUCCGUAGCUGGUCUGAGAGGACGACCAGCCACACUGGGACUGAGACACGGCCCAGACUCCUACGGGAGGCAGCAGUGGGGAAUUUUGGACAAUGGGCGCAAGCCUGAUCCAGCAAUGCCGCGUGCGGGAAGAAGGCCUUCGGGUUGUAAACCGCUUUUGGCAGGAACGAAACGGUGUCCGCUAAUACCGAGCGCUAAUGACGGUACCUGCAGAAUAAGCACCGGCUAACUACGUG
rnacentral:rRNA from 1 species